rnacentral:lncRNA from 1 species
AUGAAUCGAAAUAAAGACAUAGAUGAAAGCGUUAAGACAAGUAACAAAGUAAUCGGAUAAUAGAGACAUGAAACUACAAUCUCCCUCUUUUUGAUGUUUGUCAAGCUUUUACAAACAUUGAGUCGACCUUUGAGUACACGUGUAACUUCCCCUGAAACAUUGCACACAAAUAACUCACAUCAUAAAAACACAUAAGACAAUUAUAGACUCAUUACAACUUCUCCCCCUUUGGCAACAUCAAAAAG